rnacentral:rRNA from 1 species
UGGGGAAUAUUGGACAAUGGGCGCAAGCCUGAUCCAGCCAUGCCGCGUGGGUGAUGAAGGCCCUAGGGUUGUAAAGCCCUUUCGGCGGGGAAGAUAAUGACGGUACCCGCAGAAGAAGCCCCGGCUAACUUCGUGCCAGCAGCCGCGGUAAUACGAAGGGGGCUAGCGUUGCUCGGAAUCACUGGGCGUAAAGCGCACGUAGGCGGAUUGUUAAGUCAGGGGUGAAAUCCUGGAGCUCAACUCCAGAACUGCCUUUGAUACUGACGGUCUUGAGUCCGGGAGAGGUGAGUGGAACUGCGAGUGUAGAGGUGAAAUUCGUAGAUAUUCGCAAGAACACCAGUGGCGAAGGCGGCUCACUGGCCCGGUACUGACGCUGAGGCGCGAAAGCGUGGGGAGCAAACAGGAUUAGAUACCCGUGUAGUCC